GACGAACGCUGGCGGCGUGCUUAACACAUGCAAGUCGAACGGAAAGGCCCUGCUUUUGUGGGGUGCUCGAGUGGCGAACGGGUGAGUAACACGUGAGUAACCUGCCCUUGACUUUGGGAUAACUUCAGGAAACUGGGGCUAAUACCGGAUAGGAGCUCCUGCUGCAUGGUGGGGGUUGGAAAGUUUCGGCGGUUGGGGAUGGACUCGCGGCUUAUCAGCUUGUUGGUGGGGUAGUGGCUUACCAAGGCUUUGACGGGUAGCCGGCCUGUGAGGGUGACCGGCCACAUUGGGACUGAGAUGCGGCCCAGACUCCUACGGGAGGCAGCAGUGGGGAAUAUUGCACAAUGGGCGGAAGCCUGAUGCAGCAACGCCGCGUGCGGGAUGACGGCCUUCGGGUUGUAAACCGCUUUCGCCUGUGACGAAGCGUGAGUGACGGUAAUGGGUAAAGAAGCACCGGCUAACUACGUG
rnacentral:rRNA from 1 species